UGAAAACUGUCUGAGGGUGGGGAUCACCUC
rnacentral:piRNA from 1 species